UAGUCGAGUAGAGUAGAAUAAGCUAACUUAGCAGUAUUCGCAUGAGACAAUCAACGAUAUUUUAUCAGUUCCACAGAUUUGGCUUGCUCUAGAUUAUAAAUACAAUGGCUCAAAAAGAAAAAUAGCUAAAUGAAGUGCAUGAUGUGAAUUGCAGAAUUCAACGGACAGAUGCGAUGAUAAAAUUACUGUUAACUGAAAUGAAGAAAUAUGUACAAUCUUUCAUAAGUUCAGUACAUAAGUGUGGAAAAACAUUGCUACAUAUAUAAACAUUCAUAGGUUAUAAUUUGUUGGCAGAAAAUUGUAAUGUGAAUUGGACUGGAAUGAAAAAAAAUAUAAAGAAAUAAAAUAUGCAAAUAAUAAAACGGG